UACGUAGGGUGCAAGCGUUAAUCGGAAUUACUGGGCGUAAAGCGUGCGCAGGCGGUUAUGCAAGACAGAUGUGAAAUCCCCGGGCUCAACCUGGGAACUGCAUUUGUGACUGCAUGGCUGGAGUGCGGCAGAGGGGGAUGGAAUUCCGCGUGUAGCAGUGAAAUGCGUAGAUAUGCGGAGGAACACCGAUGGCGAAGGCAAUCCCCUGGGCCUGCACUGACGCUCAGGCACGAAAGCGUGGGGAGCAAACAGG
rnacentral:rRNA from 1 species